GAUUAUGAGGUAACUAGAAUCCACCAAUCUGAAGAUCCUCUUAUACAUUUCGCUUUAUUUUCGGAUUGUGAUCCUACAACUUUCGAAGAGGCUAUAAAAGAGUCAAAAUGGCAAAAGGCGAUGGUUGAAGAAAUUGCAACCAUUGAACGAAACAACACUUGGGAGCUUAUUAAUCUUCCAAAGGGACACAAGACAAUUGGUGUCAAGUGGGUGUACAAGACAAAGUUGAAGGAAAAUGGAGAUGUUGACAAGUAUAAGGCACGCUUAGUAGCUAAAGGCUACAAGUAAGAAUUUGGUGUUGACUACAGAGAAGUGUUUGCUCCUAUUGCCCAACAUGAUACUGUCAAGUUGGUAAUUGCGCUUGCAACUCAACAUUCAUGGCCCAUUUUUCAAUUGGAUGUCAAAUAGGCAUUCUUGCAUGGAGAUUUGGAGGAACAUGUAUAUAUUGAACAACCUCCUGGAUAUAUUAAUUUUGGAAAUGAGCAUAAAGUAUAUAGAUUGAAAAUGGCUCUAUAUGGAUUAAAACAAGCUUCAAAAGCUUGGUAUAGUCGACUUGAAGCUUAUUUUUUGAAAGAAGGAUUUCAAAAAUGUCCAUAUGAGCAUACACUUUUUAUAAAAAUUAGUAAUGGUGGAAAAAUACUCUUUGUAUGUGUAUAUGUGGAUGAUCUUAUUUUGAUUGGGAGUGAUGCUGCCAUGUUUGACAAAUUCAAGAAAUCCACGAUGAUUGAAUUCGAUAUGAUUGAUCUUGGCAUGUUGUAUUAUUUCUUGGGCAUUGAAGUAAUGCAAUCUGCUGCUGGAACCUUUAUUUCUCAAAAGAAAUAUGUGCUAGAGAUGCUGGACAGAUUUCAAAUGAAAAAUUGUAACUUUGUUAGCACACCUAUGAAGUGGGUUUGAAGCUUGUUCGAGAUCCUGAAGGAAGGAAGAUUGACAACACUCUUUACAAGCAAAUUGUAGGGAGUCUGAUGUAUUUAACAGCCACUAGACCUGACAUAACUCAUCUUGUAAGUCUUAUUAGCAGGUACAUGGAAUGUCCAAGAGAAAUGCAUCUUCUAGCAGCAAAAAGAAUUUUUCGAUACUUGCAAGGGACUGUUGGUUUUGGAUUGUUUUACAAGAAAGGAGAAAAGACAGAUUUAGUUGGUUUCACUGAUAGUGAUUAUGCUGGAGAUCAAGAUGAUAGAAAGUGCACUUCAGGUUAUGUCUUUAUGAUUGGUUCACGAGCUGUCUUAUGGUCAUCAAAGAAGCAACCAAUUGUCACUUUGUCAACAACUGAAGCUGAAUUCAUUGUUGCAACUUGAUGUGCCUGCCAAGCUAUUUGGGUGAAAAAAAUUCUUGAAGAGCUUUGUUUCAAGUAACAAGGACCAACUCCAAUCUAUUGUGAUAGCAGUUCAGCAAUUAAGCUCUCUAAGAAUCCAGUUUUACAUGGGCACAAUAAACAUAUAGAUGUGAAGUAUCACUUCUUGAGGAAUCUCUCAAAUGAUGGAAUCAUAAAUCUGAUUUUUUGCAUAAGUGAAAAUCAAGUUGCUGAUAUAGUUACUAAACCUCUCAAAGCACCUUUAUUUCAGAAGCUAUGAAAAUUGAAUAAUUAGUUUCAGAGAUGAUGUUCUGCUACUUAUGUUGUUUAAACUGAAUAUUGAUAUUUCAGUUUACGGGAAGGAAUUUUAGGUGACGUGGGUCAUUUUUAAGGUCAUUUAGUUUUUUUUCUAUGUUUUUGUUGCUCUUUGUAUCCAAGUUCAAUGGAUUCUGUUAUUGGUGGAUAAUGUUUUCUUAUUCUUCCGUUUUGUUUUAUUUGCACGUUUGGCACCUAGGAGUUAGUGGCUAGUGUAGUGGCUCAAUUUCUUUUAUAAGCAAGCAGCUUGUCAUUGAGUAAUUAUAUUUCCGGUAUGAAGCAAUAAAAGCCUUCUCGUUUUCUUAUAUAAUUUCUCUUCUACAUUUUUUUUUAUUUAACAUUUUCUACUAUCACCUUCAUGAUCAUUCAGAUUCAGAUUCUUAUGGAGCUAUAACAUAACAGUUUUGUUUUUUUUUUAAAGAAUCUACUGAGUUUUAGUGUACAUUUAUUCUUUAAUUUUCUUGCCCGCGAUUUCCUACUGGAUGCAAAUUAUUCAAGAAAAAAAUGAGUUCCUUUGUCAUUUAAUUUUUGUAUUGUGUUAAUUUAGUCUGGAAUUGAUGGAAUUGAUGGAAGGUAGUCGUAAUGUAUAUUAAUAUUAGAUCGACUCCUGUUCAACUAUCAUUCAAGUUUGAACUAAUGUCUUGAGAGAGGUUCAAUUGGUCAUGUUUUUUAAGACAUUGGUUUAAAAUAAAGGUUUGUUUACCUUUAAACUGACAGAAUAAAAUUAGGAUCUUACUAAUAUCAUUUGAAGUAAUUGACAAGCCUAUAAAUGAGUGAUUUUUUUUUGGGUAAAAUACUACCAAUGGUAAACGGUAGAUCUAAAGGUGAUUGACCUAAAGAAAAUUGAGUCUUUUUUUUUAUAUAUUUCAAAUGAGAAAGUAUAUGUUGGAUUUAUGUGUGGCCUUUUUAUUUUUGUAAAAGUUAAGAAAUAUUUUUUUAGGCUAAAAAUUUAAGCUUUAAUGGCCUUAUUCUUAGUUUGUUUUCACCCUAUGACUUGUUAUGUUAAAUAAAGUGAUGAUACUUGCAAACACAUCUAACUUAAAAAGAAAUACUUGUAAACACUCUAAUUAUAAGUGAUUUUAGCGGAGUAAUAUAAAGAGAUGUUAAGAACACAUUGUCAAACACACUUUUUUUUUAAUAUAUUUUCAUUUAUGUUAAAAUUAAUUGGAAAUCAUAAAAUUUAAUCUAGCAACUUUUGUUCUUUACAUAUAAAGAUAAAUAUUAUAAUAAUACUAAUGCUUUAAAUAAAUUAAAAUAAUCAAUUUAAUUUAAUUCACAAUAAUUUAUUUUAACCGAUUAUGGAUAGAUAUUAAUAUCAAUAAAUUAAUACGAGUUUUUUUUAUUUGGUUAAUUUAUAAUAUGUUUUGUCUUCAAUAGUAAUUAAAAAAGGAUUUUUUAAUAUAGUUAGUUAAAAUUAUUAAAUUUAGGAAUAAUGACUUUUGUUUAAUAAUUUUUUAAUUUUUAAUCAUGUUUAGGUUUUAAAUAUUGUUCAUGAACAUUUUUAGAAAAUACUUUAAAUAUAAUUAGGUAUGUCAAAAAAUGAAUAUUUUUCAAAUAGCUCGUUAUAUAAUUAGGUAUGUAAAAAAUAACUAGUUACAAGCAUCUUGGUCAAUCAACUUAACAAGAGUCUCUUGAUAAAUAACUUGUUAAAUAAUUAGGGAUGUUAAAAAAUGAACAUAUUUAAUUAUAUAAUUAGGUAUGUUAAAAAUAAAAAUUAAGUUUAUUAAUGCAUGCAUUUUAUUAUUCAUUGCAUAUAAUUAGCUCGUUAUAUUUUAUUAAAUUAAUUCAAAAUUGUUUAGAUAAUAUCUCACUUUUAGAUUAAUAUUAAAUUAAUUAAUUAGAUGACAUCUAGUUAAAUUUGAUUUAUUCAAAACUAAUUAGAUUAUACUACUAUCUUAUUAGAUUUUAAUAAGAUAGUACGUGAGAGAGAGCGAGGCGGCGGAAACACCCACGCGUAAAAAAAAUCUAACUCCUCAAUUUAUAACAUCCUCAAUCGCUAAUUAUGACAUCAUUACAGUAAUAAAAAAAUUAAUUAUUCAUUUAUCUUUUAUUUUAGUCCUUUUUAUUACCCUGUACUGAGCCUAUUAUUAUUUCCCUCUCUCCUUGCUCCUUGCUCCAAAACCCCUUCUUCAGGGUCACCGCUGUCAGGGUUAGGGUUUUUCCACCUUCUUUAUUUACCAAUCUUCUUCUACUACCACUUUUCCCUCGUUCCCUCUCUUAGUCUCUUCAAUUGUAAGCUUUUUGCGCUAGGGUUUCCUCUGCAAUCUCUUGUACUUGAAGCUCGUUCCUUCUUCCGGAUCUCGAUCUAUGGAUACCCGCAAGAGGGGAAGACCCGAACCCGGCUUCAGCUUAAAUGGCGGAUUCAAGAAAUCCAAGCAAGGUUUGAUUUUUAGCAUUCUUGCUCUUUUGGGUUUCCACGUUUUGGUUUCUGCUGCAAAAGUUUUUUUUUUCUUCUUCUUCUUCUUUCGUGUUUGUGAAUGUAAGUAGAAGUCUUUCUUCAUUUGUUAAAUUGUUAUUAGUAAUUUCGCUAAAAAAAUUAACUCAACCCUGUUAUGGUAUGGUGCUCAUUGAGGGGGGAAUUUUCUCUCUUACGCUUAUGAACAUGGCUACUACUGCCGUUGAGUUUUUUCACUUUGGCCUUUUUUUUCAGUAGUUGAGGAAGUAGAAAACCAAAACACUGUGAUUAUCCCGUCUUUCAAACUUUAUUAUGUUAGAUAAUGAACUCAACGUGCGAAAAUUUCUAAAAUUGUCACUCAAAAGUAAUUUCACUAAAAAAUACAUGUCAACACUGUUAUGGUAUGGUGCUCAUUGAGGAGGAAAUUUUCUCUCACGUUUAUGAACAUGGCUACUACUGUCGUUGAGUUGUUUCAGAUUGGUCUGUUUUUUCAGUAGUUGGGCCAGUGGAAAUCAAAAUCACUGUGAUUACUCCCUUUUUCAAAUGUUAUUAUGAUAGAUAAUGAACUCAAAACGUGUGAAAAAUUCUUAAAUUUUGCCACUCAAAAGUAAUUAUGUUUGAAGUUGUUAAUGGCUUUGGAAUAAGAUGUACUAGAUUAAUAAGCAAGAGAAUGUUAACUGAGAAUAAGUAAUAAUGUUUUGCAACAGAAAUGGAGUCCUUAUCAACUGGUGUAGGAAGCAAAUCGAAGCCAUGUACCAAGUUUUUCAGGUUCUAAUCUGUUCUUUAUCUAAUAAAUAUUUUGAACUGCCUAUCUAUUCUUAAUAGUGUUAUAUUAUAAUUACUUUAAGAAUUAAUUGUUUAAUUGCUAUCAACUAAAUUGUGCGAUUUUGCAAAUUAACUGGGUAUUCAAAGCUUUUAUACAGGUACAUACUGUUGUUUGGUCUAAACAAGUUGUAACAGAAUAAACAGAGUACAAAAAAGAUAACAAGUUGAUGGACUAAAGUUGGCACCAAGAUCACUUUAUUUAUCAGUGAUAAAUUGAUCAUUCCCCACUUCAUGUUUACCUUACAGCUUAAUUAGUUUGUUUCCCGUUUAAUUAUGUUUAACUUCAAUUUGCCAGCUUUUAAUGGAUUUUAUUGCUUAUGAACCCACCUUUCAAUUGGUAAGCUUUUAACAAACUAAUAUGAAUUAUACUUCGAUUGGGUUGGGUCAGGUAUGAUUUCAAAACUACAUAUCAAUGUCAGUGGUUUUGUAAUUUGCAUUUUCUUGAAUAAAACAUACACUUUUUUGUCUUUUAAUCCAUAACCAAUAAGAAUCACUGUAUCCAAUCCCUUGAUCCUGAUUUGCAUGAAACUUUCAGCCAGAAAUAACUAAAGAAGAAAUGAAUUUGAUCAAUAUAUUGUUUGUUAAUUGUUAUCCAAUCCAUCCCCUUAUCAUAGUUAUUUUGUUCAUGAAGUUGUCUUCUUUGCUCUUUAGGAGAUGGUGACUUAUUGAAACACCAUUGCUUUGGUUACCAGUUGGUACUAUAAUAAAUAUCUUUUGCUGAUCUAUACUUGUGUUUUGGAGUUCUUUGAUUGCCUGUCCUUUUCAUAUAAUUUUAGAGUAUGAUUGAAUUGUCUGUCUGCUUUAUAAUUUUUAUUGGGAACUGCAAUGUGCAUACUUUUGAGGAGUUUUAUGGAUCUUUUCUAGUGAUGGUUUCUUGUGGUUGGGUACUUUUCUAAAAAUAAAUGAUGGUUUCUUGUGAAGCUUUACAAUAAAUGAUUGGGUACAUUUGUGAAGCUUUAUGAUCAUAAAUGAUGGUUUCUUGUGAUUGGGUACUUUUGGGAAGCUUUAUACUCAUAAAUGAUGGUUUCUUGUGAUUGGGUACUUUUCUAGAUCUUUGUUGUCUUUCUAGGUCUCCCUUCCAUGUUAAAUUUAUGCCCUUUUUACUUUUUGGAGAUACCCUGCAUGAUGCUCUAUUCAGGAAUUUGGUCUGGUUUACUGUAAUUAUACAUCAAAUCGAGUGAAUGUAAUAUUAAAUUAAUAUUUUGGAUGGGUACAAACAUGAGUAAUCUGAUCAUGUCAUAUUUGUCUUGCAGCACUGCUGGUUGCCCAUUUGGUGAGGGCUGCCACUUCUUGCACUAUGUUCCCGGUGGUUAUAAUGCAGUUGCCCAUAUGAUGAAUCUAACACCUGCAGCACCUCCAGCAUCAAGAAAUGUUGCAGCUCUGCCUCCUGUACCAAAUGGUUCCGCACCACCUGCCGUUAAGACCCGCAUAUGCAACAAGUUUAAUACUGCUGAAGGUUGCAAAUUUGGUGACAAAUGCCAUUUUGCUCAUGGUGAAUGGGAGCUUGGCAAGCAUAUUGCUCCAUCAUUUGAUGACCAUCGCACCAUGGGACCCACUGGAGUAGGUCGUCUUGCUGGUCGAAUGGAGCCCCCUCCUGGCCCUGCUGCAAGUUUUGGGGCCAAUGCCACAGCCAAGAUCAGCGUAGAAGCUUCCCUGGCUGGAGCUAUCAUUGGGAAGGGUGGCGUGAACUCAAAACAGAUCUGCCGCCAAACUGGAGCCAAACUUUCAAUUCGAGAGCAUGAAUCUGACCCAAAUCUUAGAAACAUUGAACUUGAGGGAAGUUUUGAGCAAAUCAAAGAAGCAAGUAACAUGGUAAAGGAUUUACUUUUGACCCUGCAAAUGUCUGCACCACCUAAAACAACCCCAGGUGUUCCUGGCGCACCUGCCUCUCAUGGAAGCAAUUUUAAGACGAAGCUGUGUGAGAAUUUUACAAAAGGGUCUUGCACGUUUGGAGAUAGAUGUCACUUUGCACAUGGAGCUGCUGAAUUGCGUAAAUCAGGAGUAUGAACUUUCUUAGUCAGGCACAUUAGCUAGGGUUAUGAUUAUUGUUGUUGUGCAUUGCUACUGACAGGACUUCUGAUGUUAGUUUUGUUGUUGAGUUGCUUUACAUAACUUGUUUUAUUUCCGAUUUCAACUCUCGCUUAUAUCAUGAAACUGGUGUUUUCUCUAGGCUACCCCAUUUGGUCCCAAAUAAUGCUAUGAAAAUAGUGUGAUUUUAGUUCCUUCCUUUUCCCUUAGCAGGUACUAAAUGUGUUUUUGCAAAAUAAAGGAACUAAAAGUGAAUAAAAGUGAUUAAAAAAGUGAAUAAAAUUUUAGUAAGGACUAAAACCAAUAAAAUAGUGUUAUUUUCAAGGAAUGAAAAUGUCUGCUAGCUUUUUUAUUUCAUUAAUAUAUUUUUUGCCAGUUAACUAGAAGUAUUGAUAAAUUACACGAUUUUCUAUGAAUUGAAUGGAAUAGAAAUGUUCUUGAAAUACAAUUAUUAUUUGGUUUCUCAAAUAAGGUAGAUUUGAGGAUGACAAAUUGUUAAAAUAUAUUUAACACAAUAAAAAUGCUUUUAACAGUGUAGAUAUAUGGAUGUAUGUAAACCAAAAUUUUAUUUGAGCGUAUGGUAAUAAAUAUCCAGACAUCGACGGGUGUGGACAGUACUUAAGGACGAAACUGAAUGAUGAAUGAUAAUAUGGAAGAACUAACAAAAGAGAUUUUAAAAUCUCAAAUAUUAAAUAAACCAAAGCACAUAAUUGGAAAUUUUCAUUCUUAUACUAAUAAAAGACUUGCUUAUAUGACAAUUUUUCACCCCAUAAAUACAAAUAUAUAUAUAUAUAUAUAUAUAUAUAUAUAUAUAUAUAUUCAAAUAAUACAUGUAAAAAGUUAUUUACAUAGAUAAUACAAAACAGGGUGCAAGAUGAUAAAUCAGUUUCCCUCAAAUGAAUUUCUCACUUGCACAGCUUUAUUUGUUGUUAACAAAACGCACAUUAAAAAUUAGUUCCCCAAGAACUAAUUCUAAAGUGUUUUUUUUGCUUAGUUUACAAAUCGAUUCUUAGAACUGAUUAUUAAAGUAGGUUUUUUUUAAAAAAAAAAAAACUAAAUUCAUAAAUGAACUGAGUUUUUUUAUGCUUAUUUAUUUUAGUUUUUUUUGUUUUCUAAUUUUUUUUCUGUUUUUUCUUACAUUUUUUUAAAAUUAAGUGAUUUUUUUGUUUUAAUUUUUUAUUUUAAUACUUUAUAAAAAUAUAAUAUAUCUAGAAUAUUAUUUAAAAAAUGAAUAUAUUUAAAUACUCAAUAUAAAUAAAAUUUAGUUAAACAUUUAUAAAAAAAAUGCAUAUCUCAUCUAGAAUAACAUUUAAGAAAAAUACAUAUAUUUAAAUACUCAAUAUAAAUAUAAUUUAGUUAAAUAUUUAUUAAAAAAGUGAAUAUACUUAAAUGAUCUAAUUCUUUCCUUUAAAUAAAUUAAACAUGUUUAAUUUAACUUGUUGGUUGCAUAUUUUUUUUAAAAUUUCAAAUACAUAUUUUAAUAAUCAACUAAAUGAAAGUACAAAAGAAUUAAAAUGUAUGUUAGGAUGAGUUGUUGUCUAAUUUUUUUUAUUUUAAAAAUGUAAAAGUAAUUGAAUACUAAAUAUUGUUAUUUUUAACUAAAUGGUUUUUAAAUCAACUUUAUUCCAUGUUAGUAAAAUAUUUUGAAAUAAAAAAUAUAUAAAAGGGAUGUAUUCAACAGAAUGUCUCUAAGUAUUCUUAAUAAUUUACUUAUUAUUUUAUACCCUUAAUUAAUAUUUAAAAUAAAUAAUUAUAAUUUAUUUUAUAUUUAAUUUUAUAUAAAAAGAUGUUGUCUGUGUUUUAUUUUAUAUUUAAUUACUUAUAUAAAAAUAUUUUGUUAGUAUAAUAUGCAUAUUAUAACUUUUUUUUAUUCAUAUGCAUAUUAUAACUUUAGUGAGAUUAUUUUAUAUAGAAUGAAUAUAAUAAUGAAAUUAAUAUUUUUAAUUCAUAAAUUUUGUACUUUUUUUCUUGGUAAAACUUGGUAAAUAAUGUUGUUUUAACUUUGUUUUUAUUUCUAUGGAUCUUUUGUGUCUAAAUAUAUCUAUGAUAUUAAAAUUAAGUGAACCUAAAAGUAAUAAAAACAUCAAGAUAAAAAAAAGAGAACUAAUUGAAUUUCAUAUAUAAUGAAUAAUUACACUUUUUUUACACAUGAAUAAUUAUAAUGUGGUAAAAUAAAAAAGUAAUUUAGUUAAAAUAAUUAGAGUUAUUUAGUGAAAAUAAAAAAGUGAUUUGAAUUAUCCAAGGUAAUAAAAAUACAAUUUAAAAAAAACUAAAAGAAAUAACAAAAAAUAGAAAACCAGAAAAAAAAUUCAUUUUCUCAACUAAGUUGUUUUUUUUUUAUAUAUAAAAACUACUUUAAAAAUCGGUUACCUAGGAAUCGAUUUCUAAAACUAGGCAAAAAAACACAAUUUAGAAAUCGAUUCCUUAUGCAAGUGAGAAAUCGAUUUUGGAUAAACUGAUUUUUAACCUUAUAGAGUAUUUUGUAUCAUUCAUAUAAAUAUUUUUUCACAUGUAUCAUUUUGAUAAAUGUUUUUUUUUAAUUUUGAGGGUAAAAAUUCGCUUAUAUGAUCCUUAUGCCUCAGGGCGAGUAUCGUUUGAGGUAAUUCGAGAUUGUUGGGGUAAAAAUUCACAUGUAUCAUCUUAUUUAUGUUUCUUUUUGGUCCAAACAUGAUUCUCAUAUUCACGUGCAGAUGAAUCUAAUAAGACAAAUUUCAUGUUUUGAAUAAAUCAAAAAAAGGUUCAAAAUCAUGCUUGAAAAUUAAAAAUCAAGAGUUUUUCAAAAGGGCUAACGUGAUGAACUAAAUAAGAAAGGGGAUCAUUUUAGAAUUUUUAAAAGUUAGGGGACCAAUUUAGAGUCAAAAAAUAAUUUAAGCAAUCAUUUAUAUAUUUUAACCUAAUUAAAUAAGAAAAGAUUGCGAAUUAAAUAAGAAAGGGGAUCAUUUUAGAACUUUUAAGAGUUAUGAGACUAAUUUAUAACAAAAAAAAAUUAAGAGACCAUUUCUAUAUUUUAACCAAAUUAAUUAGGUAGUAAAAAAUUAGUUAUUAGAAAGAGAUAAUUAAUAUGGUUUAAUCUAUGCAAGUUUGUAUAGUAUAGAAAAACCUUUUUUUUAUUAAAGUAUUAUUCUUGUAAUCUACAUACAAAAUCUGACUUUUUUAUUUUAUCAAAAUGGGUUAAAAAUUAAAGGUAAUUACCAUAAUGGGUUGGUCAACAAAGUAUUUACUAAAAUAGAUGAUUUUAGUAAUGUAGGAAUGUAGGAGGAAAUGUCAAUCUAAUAUGGUCUAUUGUAAGAUAUUUAGCGUUGGUCAAGUCAACACUAAAUACUUGAUUAAUGAUUAGAUCUAUAAGUAUAUUUUUCACUAGCCAAUGCUAAAUACAUGGUUAAUGAAGAGACCUAUUUUAGAUUAUAAAACAUGUGACUUAUUUUAUUAAAAAAACACUUUAAAAAAAAUAAACUCACCUAUAUUCUGUUUUACUUUGUUAAUUUUUAGUUAAGAUUAUAAAAUAUAAGUAAAAAAAAGAAGAGUAUAUUAUAAUUAUAAAAUUUACAAUGAAAUAUAAUGAUAUACUGAAAGGUUAAACAAUAAUUAAAAUAUUGUUAUAAUCAAAAUUUUAAUUUUUUUUAUUUUGCGUCAGCUAGGCCAACACUUAAUUAAGUGAAAAUGUAUCAAUAAAUCUAGUCAGCAUGUAUUUAGGAUGAGCUUUACCGAAGCUAAAUACCUAAAAACAAAAAAUAUAAGAUAUUACUAUAGCAUUUUCUACAUUUUUACAUGUUAAACAUAGCUUAUUUUAAUAAAUAUUUCGUUGACUAAUUCAUUAUGGUAAUUAACUUUUAUUUUUAACCAAUUUUGCUAUAAAAAAAAAAAAAGCCUACAAAAUCCACCCUAAGGAACACAUAUUAACCACUUGUCAAAUUAAAAUAUAAUCACAAAAAUAAACACCGAUUCCUCGUCUACAUUUAGCCAAUAUGGUGAUGCAUGAAGUGUUUCUCUUUUUAUAUGUAACCUUGCUUCCUAGUUUCUACACUAACUCAAAUGCUCACAAUGAAGAUGAAGAUGAUUUUGGUAUUUGUGCUUGUUCUAUCGACUCCAAGAAUCACGCCUUAGGGACCCGGAGGCUCAUUCCAACCCCACCACAAAGCCUUCCCCCUCUGUUUCCAAGCCAGCUCUCGCCGUCACCAUCAUCACCAAUGCUACCAUGAAUUAGUCCAAGGAGGAACUUGUGACUCUGAGUUUUUCCCCAUCACGAUUACAACUCUCAGUCUUGACCAUUUCAUCUGCAAACUUCUCAUUGUUCUCAAUAUAAUUAGCUCACUUGUGUUUGCCUAAACUGCUUUUGUGAGUGAUGCAAAAUAGAUUUGAGUAUUUGCCUGCGUACCUUAGUCGCAUGUGCAUGUACGUGCUCCGGUGUCAGGUUGUGGGUUGGGCUGGGGUUGCUAUUUAACCUAUAGAUAUUAGAAAGAGAGAGUCACAUUAGAGAGUGUUUAUGAUCAAAAUAUUACGAAAUGUUUAUUUAUGUUGAUGUUAUAUUGGAGAGAGUCGUAUUAGAGAGUGUUUAUGAUCAAAAUAUUAAGCUAUACAUAUAAUUCAUACUCUCUCUUUUUUCAAGCAAUAAAACACACUAUUGUUUCUCACAAAUCACAAUUCAUACAAUUUUUUUUUUUAAUUCAAGCAAUAAAACACACUCUUUUAAGGUCCUUUCGAUUCGCAAAAAAUGAAGGACAAGACAACACAAAUUUUUUUACACUAUGUUUGUUGUAAAAUUUGUUAUAGAACAGAACACACGAAUGGCACGGGACAAGAUCUUCCAUGUCUUCUGAGUUCUGACGGUUACUUUUUUUUCUCUGAAAAUCUUUACGAUUGCAAAUUUCUCAAGUUUUACAAACUUUUAUUAUACUUUAUGUUUUAUAACGUUACAUUGGUCUAUAUAUAUAUAUAUAUUAUUUAUUUAUUAUGUACAUCAAAUAAUAUUUAAAAUACAUAUUAAAAUAUUUAAUAAUAUAUUAUUUUAUAAUGUAUAUAAUAAUAAUAAUAAUAAUAAUAAUAUUAUGAAUUAUAUUAAAGUAAUCAAUAAUAAUAAAAAUGACAUUAUAACAAAUUUUAUACUUUUUUUAAUUGUAUUGUUCACUAUCCAUCAAAAAGGUACAAAAUAAAAACUUUGCUUUGUAACUGAAAAAUUUGUCUUGUGUUCUUCUCUGUAUGUUAUACCUUAUCAAAUGCAUCAUUAAAGGAAAAUAAAAAAUGAUAUAUAAAAAGUGUAAAACACACCGACCGAUGAAAAACAAUGUUUGUUUUAGUGAGCUAAUCUUUUUUUUAGACAUGUAGAGGUGCGAGUAUUUUCUCGGAGGAAAGAAAAUUAUAAAAAAACAAAUAUGUGAAAUAAAUAGAAAAGGAAAGAUAUUAUUGUUUUUUUUAAGAAGGCAUCAUCAAUUAGGUAGUAAUUAAAAAAUGAUAAAUAUUCUCUUUGGAAUAUUUGUUAAAAAAUUAAAAGAAGAAAUAUUUCUAUUGAAAUGUAUAAAAUUGAACUGCUAAUGAUUUUUUAUGUUUUUUUUAAUGAUUUUCAUAAUAAAUAUUUUUUUAAUUUCUUAAUCAAUAUUACCGUUAGUAGGACCCGUAAAAAAUUAGUUAAAAAAAUAAUUAAUUAGGCUUAACUUUGUAAGUUUGUGCAAGUUUAUACCGGACAAACCCUUUUAUUAGUAUUAUUCGUCUAAUCUACAUACAAAACCCACCCUAAGGAACACUGUCAAAUUAAAAUAUAAUCACAGAAAAAGAAUAUUGCAAAUCUCAUCUCAUGAAAAAUCAAUUCUUUAUUAAAAGAUGUAAGAAAUAAAUUAAUAAUAAUAUAGAUAUCUACGCCAUUAUACUCAAACAAAAUUAAGGAUUUACAAAUCACAAAUGGGGUUUGAAUUUGAUCUAUUUUUUCAAAUCACUCAUGAAUAAAAAAAUCAUAUUGAUAUAAUAGUUUACGUAAAAUAAAAGAAAGUGAAAUUGUUAUUUAAUUUUACGGAGUUGUUUAAAUGAUCUCAAGUAGAAAUGAAGUUAAAUAACUGGUCCAAUAAAUUUUUGACUAAUUAUAUACUCUUCUUAUUAUUUUUUUAGGAAUUACAUAUUUCCACCUUUAACUUCCUAACCUUUCAUCCGAAUUAAGAAAUCAUAUACAACUAAUGUAAUGGGAUUUACGAUGCUAAUUACAUGAAAUCAACGGGAUGUGCCUACUUAUAGUAGAUUUCAAAUAUUCAAAAACAAAGACUGGUUCAUUCCCAAAAAUCCUUUCAGGUUACAUGAAUGACCAACACCACGACCAUAAUUUAUCGUUUUAUAUCAGCUUUUCAGAAGAUUAUUACAAAUCUUUGUUUGAAAAUAAUACUGUCAAUUCUUUAUCUUCAAAUCUCACAAACUAAAAUUCAAUGAAUGUGUCUGGGAAGACGUUUCUCCAACUGAUGCAAAGAUUAGAUGAAAAAAUUGGAUCUAGGUCAGUUUCUUAUAAGAGAUGAUACAAAAACAAUUACGGAAACCAAAAAUCUCAGAUUUCAAAAUUUUGUGCAUAAAAAAAAAGAGUAAAUUAGUUUUUUUUUGUCUAACUUAUUAUUUAAAUUUAAUUUUAAUUUGAUCAAUAAUUUUUUUAGGUUCAAUUUUUUAAUUUCAUCUUUCAAUUUUUAAAAUUAAUUUAUUAUUUUGAAAAAUAUAAACCGUUACAAAACAUAAUUCUUAUUAUUUAGAAAAACACAAAAUUAAAUAGAUUUAAAAAAUUAAAGAAAAAAUUAAUUUAAUUUUUUAAUUUAAGUAUAACUUUUAAUACAAUUAUAUUAUUUUAAUUUUACUGUAUCGUAUAGGAUAGGAUGGAAUUGUUUAAUUCCAUUUCUAAUGAAGAUUAAUUAGAAAAAUCCUUAUUUUUACACAACCACUAUUUUAUUUAAUUAUUAUCACGAAAUGAUACAAGUACAAGUUUACCACAUAUAACGUUUCCACGUAGUGAAAACACUGUCAUAACCACACCCAAGUCUCUCCAUAACAAGUGGAGAGAAAAGCAGACAAACAAAGAUAACCAAACAAACAAGUACAAAAGCCAUACCCCAAACUAACUACAUUUAAUAAACCUUAUUAUUAAACUAUUGCCAAUAAACCUUGAUGAUAUAAUCAUCAUUAAUUAAGUACCCCCAGUCCCAUACCCAUAAUCAUUCGGCUUUCCACCCGCACGGGUAUUAUGAGCUGUAGCGGUCCCACCCGGCCCUCUGUUGGUUCCAAUGGGAUGUGAGCCCACCACUCCUUCGGUGACAUGGCCCGUGGGCUGCCCGGUUCCAUGGCCAGGCAUUGCCGACGUCUGGUGGGCCCCCAUGGGCUGACCAUAUUCCCCGGUGGUGGAAUACGUGGCGGUUCCAGUCCCGGUUCCGGUGGUGUGGUGGCCAUGUCCCAUGUGCCCAGCCGUGGUGGCGGACUGUUUGGCCGCCGUGUUAUGCUGACGCGCCGCCUGCUUGUCCAGCUCCGCCUGGUUCAUCUUUGCCUCUUUCUUUUGGGUUGCCA
rnacentral:lncRNA from 1 species